rnacentral:rRNA from 1 species
CCUACGGGAGGCAGCAGUGGGGAAUAUUGCACAAUGGGCGCAAGCCUGAUGCAGCCAUGCCGCGUGUGUGAAGAAGGCCUUCGGGUUGUAAAGCACUUUCAGCGGGGAGGAAGGCGGUGAGGUUAAUAACCUCAUCGAUUGACGUUACCCGCAGAAGAAGCACCGGCUAACUCCGUGCCAGCAGCCGCGGUAAUACGGAGGGUGCAAGCGUUAAUCGGAAUUACUGGGCGUAAAGCGCACGCAGGCGGUCUGUCAAGUCGGAUGUGAAGUCCCCGGGCUCAACCUGGGAACUGCAUUCGAAACUGGCAGGCUAGAGUCUUGUAGAGGGGGGUAGAAUUCCAGGUGUAGCGGUGAAAUGCGUAGAGAUCUGGAGGAAUACCGGUGGCGAAGGCGGCCCCCUGGACAAAGACUGACGCUCAGGUGCGAAAGCGUGGGGAGCAAACAGGAUUAGAUACCCGGGUAGUC